GAUGAACGCUGGCGGCGUGCCUAACACAUGCAAGUCGAACGGACGGACGAUAAGUUUGCGUUUUUGUUGUUUGCGGCUGGCGGGCGUGUCACGCGUGCAUCAUCUACUGCUAUUUCUGGGAUGACUUCGGAAAUCGGCUUAAUCUAGGAUAGGAUACUGGUUACGGUGUGAUUCAGGAGAGAUUGACAGGUUUGGGGUUGGAUUUAGGCGAAUCCGCGCUGCAUUAGAUAGUUGGUAGGGUAACGCCUUGCCAAGGCACCGAUGCGUAGCCGACCUGAGAGGCUGAUCGGCCACACUGGAACGGAGACACGGUCCAGACUCCUACGGGAGGCAGCAGUGGGGAAUCUUGGGCAAUGGGCGAAAGCCUGACGGAGCAACGCCGAGUGAGUGAAGAAGGCCCUCGGAUCGUAAAGCCCUGUUAUUAGGGAAGAACAUCUGUCGAUGUAAACGUAGCCAUCUUGACGGUACCUAAAGAAAAAGCCCCGGCUAACUACGUG
rnacentral:rRNA from 1 species